CCUACGGGAGGCAGCAGUGGGGAAUAUUGGGCAAUGGGCGCAAGCCUGACCCAGCAACGCCGCGUGAAGGAAGAAGGCUUUCGGGUUGUAAACUUCUUUUAUGGGGGACGAAACAAAUGACGGUACCUCAUGAAUAAGCCACGGCUAACUACGUGCCAGCAGCCGCGGUAAUACGUAGGUGGCAAGCGUUAUCCGGAUUUACUGGGUGUAAAGGGCGUGUAGGCGGGACUGCAAGUCAGAUGUGAAAAUUAUGGGCUCAACCCAUAACCUGCAUUUGAAACUGUAGUUCUUGAGUUAUGGAAAGG
rnacentral:rRNA from 1 species